GCCAAUUACUCUGGUAUUUAGGAAAAACCACUUGUGACAUGAAGCUUAACUGGUUGUGGAUGGUUUUAUUGCUUUCUACAGAGCUCUGGAGAAAUGUCUGUCACCCCAGCUCAAGUGUUCUGCUGAGUGAAUGAGAGAAGCAGAACAAGGACCAGAAUAGUCUGAAGGGGCACCAUGGAGAGGUUUUUCAUAGAAGCUGGGCCUGUUCUCUUGAAAGCUGAGUUCUGCAGAUAUUGGUGUUUGAGUGUGCCUAGCAAAGAAGCUUCAUAUAUAGAAGUGGUUUUGUAUUACUUUGUAUUUUGUAUUGUCAUUUUUCUGCCUGUUAAAUGUAUAUGAAAACAGAAAUGGAAGGUAUAGAAUAACUUGUAUCUCUCACACAACUUAGUGGAUUCAUUUGUUUUUCUUGGCUUUGCCAUUGCAAUUUUUAGCUGGGGCUUGUGUUGAGUCCUUUAAAGUCUUUGCUUUAAAUUUAAAUUUGGGGAAUUUAGGUGCCAAAACAGUGAUGCUUUUUUCCCAUUGUAUUUUAAAGCUUGACAAAAUGGAUGUAUUUGGUUUGGGGAGUGGGGGGAACAAGGAAAAAAACCCUAAGGCUGACACAGAGCAGGACAAAAGCAGUGGCUAACAGCGGUGUAUUACUCAAGGUCAUUUAGGCUGAUAAGGGCUGGGUCUGCUUGCUUUUGCCAUGUCCUAAUUUUUGUGCUUACCUCUCUGCUGAACCUAUCAUAAAAACUGAACGUCCUAUUUUAAGCUGAACCUGAGAUGCUAAAAUGUAUUUUAGCUGUUAUAUGUACUUUAAAAGCUCAGCUCUUAAUUUUG